GACGAACGCUGGCGGCGUGCUUAACACAUGCAAGUCGAACGAUGAUCCGGGUGCUUGCACCUGGGGAUUAGUGGCGAACGGGUGAGUAACACGUGAGUAACCUGCCCUGGACUCUGGGAUAACCCCGAGAAAUCGGAGCUAAUACCGGAUAGGACCUUUCCUCGCAUGAGGUGGGGUGGAAAGUUUUUUCGGUUUGGGAUGGACUCGCGGCCUAUCAGCUUGUUGGUGAGGUAAUGGCUCACCGAGGCGGUGACGGGUAGCCGGCCUGAGAGGGUGACCGGCCACACUGGGACUGAGAAACGGCCCAGACUCCUACAGGAGGCAGCAGUGGGGAAUAUUGCACAAUGAGCGCAAGCCUGAUGCAGCAACGCCGCGUGCGGGAUGACGGCCUUCGGGUUGUAAACCGCUUUUAGUAGGGAAGAAGCCUCUUGGGGUGACGGUACCUGCAGAAAAAGGACCGGCUAACUACGUGCCAGCCGCCGCCGUAAAAC
rnacentral:rRNA from 1 species